GAUGAACGCUGACAGAAUGCUUAACACAUGCGAGUCAACUUGAACUUCGGUUUGGGUGGCGGACGGGUGAGUAACGCGUAAAGAACUUGCCUCACAGAUAGGGACAACAUUUGGAAACGAAUGCUAAUACCUGAUAUUAUGAUUAUAUGGCAUCGUAUAAUUAUGAAAGCUAUAUGCGCUGUGAGAGAGCUUUGCGUCCCAUUAGCUAGUUGGAGAGGUAACGGCUCACCAAGGCGAUGAUGGGUAGCCGGCCUGAGAGGGUGAUCGGCCACAAGGGGACUGAGACACGGCCCUUACUCCUACGGGAGGCAGCAGUGGGGAAUAUUUGACAAUGGACCAAGAGUCUGAUCCAGCAAUUCUGUGUGCACGAUGAAGUUUUUCGGAAUGUAAAGUGCUUUCAGUUGGGAAGAAAAAAAUGACGGUACCAACAGAAGAAGUGACGGCUAAAUACGUG
rnacentral:rRNA from 1 species